rfam:Schistosoma mansoni strain Puerto Rico chromosome 6, complete genome
GCAUUGCUGAGGAGUCCCAUAAUAGGACGAAAGGGACGUUCAAUGC